rnacentral:rRNA from 1 species
UACGUAGGGUGCAAGCGUUGUCCGGAAUUAUUGGGCGUAAAGAGUUCGUAGGCGGUUUGUCGCGUCCGUUGUGAAAGCUUGGGGCUCAACCCCGAACUUGCAGUGGGUACGGGCAGACUAGAGUGUGGUAGGGGAGACUGGAAUUCCUGGUGUAGCGGUGAAAUGCGCAGAUAUCAGGAGGAACACCGAUGGCGAAGGCAGGUCUCUGGGCCAUAACUGACGCUGAGAAGCGAAAGCAUGGGGAGCGAACAGG